GAAAUGCGAUACGUAAUGUGAAUUGCAGGAAUCUGUGAUUCAUCAAAAUUUUGAACGCAAGUUGCAGCUCUGUUGAGGAGCUAUAUCUAUUUCAGUGUUUAAAAACAAAAAUCACAAAACAAUUGUUUUGUGGAAAUGAAUGUAUAAGUAUUCUUAUUCAUUUUAAUUAAAUUGAAAAGUUUAACUUUAACUGUUAGUUUAAUACUACAAAUAAAGUUAAACUUAAAGAAAGCAAUUUAAUUAAAUAAUCAACCUGAAAUUAGUUAAGAUUACCCGCUGAACUUAA
rnacentral:misc_RNA from 1 species